CACUUGUCGAUCAGUUAUCAACCAGUUAUCAACGAAUUAUCAGCGAUUUAAUUAACGAAUCAUUAGCGAUCCUGUUUUACGACUUAUAUUAUAUUAUAUAUUUUUAAUCAAUCCUUUACACAAGUCCUCUAUAAAUUGGUAACUUCGACGUGAGUUGAACUAAACAACCUCUACAUUUCUAAGAUGAUAUCUCUCGAGGGUUUCAACGAAAGAUAAUACUCUAAAACUACAAUUUUGUUAAAAAAAAAAAAAAAGUAAUUCCUGU
rnacentral:misc_RNA from 1 species